GCGCCGGCUGCGGCCGGUCGGGGCUCCCGGCAGGAGGGCGCCGGGGCCUGGGGCGCGCGUGCCCAAGUCCCGAGAGGCGGCGGCUGCGCCACUGCGGGGCGCGGCAACUCGCUGGGCAGCGGGGACUCGGCGGCCCUGCAGCUCUCGCGUCCCUCCUCCUGCCUCCCUGCGUGACCCGCCUGCUUUGGAGGGCACGCAAGGUCCGCAGUGGGUGCGGGGACGUCCGCAGAACUGGGCCCCCGAAUCUCCGUGGACCUGGGACAGAAACCACGCGCUGGAGCAUCUCAACCUCUGUCUCCAACAACCGGUCCACAGCCAGCUUGCGGCAGAAACCAGAGCACAGACUGCAGGGGCCGGAAAAAAAAAAAGAAGAAGAAAGAGUGAUGUUAAAAUUUUGAAUUCAGAAACAGUUGCCAUGUGGGGAAUUGAUUUUGGCUUGAAACAGGCCACCCGCUUCUCAUCAGUGGCUCCUGGCAGGGUUCCCGGGCUCAGGACACGCCUCCUCCACUCAUUUCCUGGGAAGUCUGUUCCUCUGAGGGCCAUCUCCUCGCCCUUGCAUCACACCUGGAUGCGGUUUCCUUGAGCUGCUGGGUGGCGUUGCCCUGCUCCACUCACUCCACGGCUGUCUUGGCUCCAACAUCCCCUGCCUUUCCUCCUGCUCCUGCCAGCUGAUGGAGAAGGGGUAUUCUGAAGAGAGCAGAGGGCAGUAGCAUGGGGCCGGGGCCUGGGGGUGGAGCUGGGGUGAAGCUCAGGCAGAUAACAGGGGUCAAGGGGGGUCUGAGGCAGCCAGAACCGCCUCCACGAGCCUGUUCCAGCUCCCAGCAGGCUCACUUAGGCUCCCUCGGCCUGGCUCAGAUCUCUUUUCUUAAUCCAAUAAAGGGGCACUUGCCUACUUUUGAAAAGGUGCC
rnacentral:lncRNA from 1 species